AAAGGAAGCUAACAUGCAAGUCGAGGGGCAGCACGAUGUAGCAAUACAUUGAGUGGCGACCGGCGCACGGGUGAGUAACCCGUAUGCAACCUACCUAUCAGAGGGGAAUAACCCGGCGAAAGUCGGACUAAUACCGCAUAAAACAGGGGUUCCACAUGGAAAUAUUUGUUAAAGAAUUAUCGCUGAUAGAUGGGCAUGCGUUCCAUUACAUAGUUGGUGAGGUAACGGCUCACCAAGUCCACGAUGGAUAGGGGUUCUGAGAGGAAGGUCCCCCACACUGGUACUGAGACACGGACCAGACUCCUACGGGAGGCAGCAGUGAGGAAUAUUGGUCAAUGGGCGAGAGCCUGAACCAGCCAAGUCGCGUGAAGGAUGAAGGAUCUAUGGUUUGUAAACUUCUUUUAUAUGGGAAUAAAGUGAGGAACGUGUUCCUUUUUGUAUGUACCAUAUGAAUAAGCAUCGGCUAACUCCGUGCCAGCAGCCGCGGUAAUACGGAGGAUGCGAGCGUUAUCCGGAUUUAUUGGGUUUAAAGGGUGCGUAGGUGGUUAAUUAAGUCAGCGGUGAAAGUUUGUGGCUCAACCAUAAAAUUGCCGUUGAAACUGGUUGACUUGAGUAUAUUUGAGGUAGGCGGAAUGCGUGGUGUAGCGGUGAAAUGCAUAGAUAUCACGCAGAACUCCGAUUGCGAAGGCAGCUUACUAAACUAUAACUGACACUGAAGCACGAAAGCGUGGGGAUCAAACAGGAUUAGAUACCCUGGUAGUCCCCGCAGUAAACAAUGGAUACUAGGUGUGGGGGGACUG
rnacentral:rRNA from 1 species